rnacentral:tmRNA from 1 species
GGGGAUGUAUUGUUUCGACAGGAUCGCACUUUGACAAACUGCAAGCCGAACACGAUUCUAAAGCGCGUUAAGCUUUGAAUCAAACUUAAGUGCAAACAGAAAUGUUGCACCCGCUUUUGCUUUUGCCGCAUAAGGUAAGAGUUUAAAAGCUGUCCUUUUGGUUUUUUCUCGGUGAAGCCAUUGGGGCAUAAAUUUAGCCGGGAGUAGAUCUCUGGUUUCUGAUCAGGCCAAAGAUUGAAAAAGAUCGAUCUAUGUUCAGACUAUUCCUGUUAGUCGGAAAAGGUUUGAACGAAAUUUUAAAGACCAACUAAGCUUGUAGAUGUUUGCAAAAUGUAAUCUUGGACGCCGAGUCACUCUCGGCCAUCUCCACAA